GGGGGCGAAAUUGGCUUCGACGAGGGUACAGAAUCGCGGGAUGCAUGCCGAGCUCCAUUGACUCGUAAAUCCGAUGGAACAUCCGUUAACUGCGGAUUCUAACUACGCUCUCGCAGCCUAAUAAGCUGUGAGCGUCUGCCCCGACCUCGCCUGGUGGUUGGGGGUCAGGCGCCAUUAAACAGGCUGGCGGUCAGGCGGCGGCUCGGCGCUUGGCCGUGAGAUGCACCGGGUCUGGUGUCCGGCGGUUUUGGCCGCCUCCUCACGCCGGGCACGAGAAUUCAGAAGCGGACACGCAUGUAGAGUCCUGUGGGGACGUGCUUUCGGACGCGGGUUCGACUCCCGCCGCCUCCACCA
rnacentral:tmRNA from 1 species